AGGUUUGGAUACAAACUUACUGACUGAUUCUUCUCUUUAGACUGGAAAAAAUGAAAAAUGAAUAUCGGGCACUAAAAACCUGGGACAAAAAAGCUGAGUAUUUAGAUGAACUCAUCAUGAAAAAGGGACCUAAAAUGACCACAGGACAGCAUAUGGCAUUUCACUUCAAGGAAAUGGAUGAAAAGAGGCAAAAAACUUCUGGGGAAAGAAGCAGAACAUUAACAGACUAAAUUGAAAGGUUAUUCAAAUCUGUCCUUCAGAAUUUCGGAGCAAGUACUGGAAACUACAGACAAAAUGCAUCAUGGUGAUUCCUCAGAAUAUGCAGAAUCUGACCCAAAACUUCAGCCUCUUCCUGCAGUAGUUAUAACAUCCACAUCAAGUGUUUCUCAAAAAUCAUUAAUUAGGAACCCAAAGGAACAUUUGGAAAGGACAUCUUCAGUUUGUUUCAAACCUAUGGACUCAGAAUAUGUUAUUUCUGUAGUUCCAGACUGGGAAACAGAACUGGGAAAAAAACCUAACACAGAAAAAAUAAGUGUUCUGGAACCAACUAGAACUGACCUUAUAAAUUUAGAAGAUCAUCCAGUAAUACAUUCUCAGGAUUUUGCCUCUGGUAUUUCAGAGAGAGCACGUAUCAGUCCCCAGGUUUCAGUGAGUUCUGAAAGUGUACCAGUGAUCAUCGUAAGUGAGCCAUCAGGUAAAAUGGCCAAAAAGUUGCAGCAGUUCCCUCUUAAAGAGAUUGAAUACCAGCAACCUGUUCUUAGUGGGGACAAAUUUGAACCUUUUUUGAGACAUAUAGGUAGAACACAAUCAACUGUACAAGAAAGGAAAGAAGCUGGGCUGGAAGUACCUAUUUUCAGUGUUCUGGAAAACAAACUUCUGUGUGCAGAUGUCAAAGAGGAAGAAGAUCAGGAUCCACCUACUGGAACACCUUCAAGAAAAGCAGCAAGUAGUUCAGAUGUUGAGUUAAGUAAGAGUUGUCAGCGCCUUUCUAUAUUACAACUUAUAGAAUCAAAGAUGAAAUUAGAAGAGGAGCAGCAAGAUCUUUCUUUACCAAAUGUUAAAGAACCAUUAUUGUUGACUAUAAAUACAAAUUUGCCUGAAAAAUGGCAAGAGAAGAGACUUUCAGAAACAGAAAUAAUGCAUCCAAACAUAUUUUUAAACAAUGCUCUUGAAGACUUUCUUGUAGACAGACUCAUAAAUAUAAUAACAUUAAAAUCUGUAUUAAGCAGUAGUCUUGGUGAGAUGAUCUCAGAGAGACUUUCAGAAAUAAUGGUAGAGACAAAGACAGAAUUGGAGGAAGAGUACCAGAAUCUACAAUGUUUUGUAGAUGGAUCACCAGUUGUUCUGGAGAGAGAUUUACUUGAAAAGGGACAGAAUUAUUACAGGCUUUCUGAACCAGACACAAUAAAUUUAAAAUCAGUUUUAAGCCAGAACUUGCAGGAUCGUCUCAUUGAGAGAUUUUCUGAAACAGGAAUAAUCACAGACUUGGAGUUAGGGAAGCAGCCCAAGAAUCUGCCAUUUCAAGAAAUAAAAGAUAUGGUUGGGGACAUGGAUUUAGAUGACAAAAUACAUAAUUAUGAGAAGACGGCCUCAGAACCUGAACUAGUAGAUCUUAAACCUGUUUUAAAACAAAAUCUACAAGAUUUUGCCAGAGAGAGGCUUUUAGAAUUGGGUUUAAUGCUAAGUAAUGAUGAGAGACAACCAAAAUUUGAGGCAGAGUCACCUGAGAAAAGCAAAGAUCAGUCUGGAAAACAGUAUUCAGAAACAGACAUAAGAAUAAUAAAAUCUUUAAGUGAAAACCUACAGGAACUUCCAGAUGAGAGACUUUUAGAAUCAGGAUUAAUAAAAGUCACUGAAUUAGAGCAUGAAUGCCCAAAUUUGACUUCUCAGUUUUUUAAAGACAGACAAUCAAUAGAUGAGAAAAGGACAAAAUGUUUUAAGAAGAAGUCUUUCAAAACAGAAAAAAUAAAAAUAGAAUCUGCUCGAAGUCAGAAUCUACAAAACCAUAUGUCGAAAAGUUGCUCAGAAAGAGGGAUGAACACAGAAAUUAAGUUAGGAAAAGAGCAACAGAAUGGGUCAGUGCAGAUAAUCAAAGUAAGAUUGCCAAUGGAUUUGGAGACAGAGGUACCUAGAAGAGAGGAAGAUCAUCACAAGCAAAGGCUUACAAGAUCAGAAAUAAAUUCAAAAUCUGCUUCAGAUAAAACUCUCCAAGAUACUUUUGUAGAAAAACUUUUGGAAACAGAAAUAAUGAGUCUAAAGACUUUUUUAAAUCAGUGCCUCCAGGAGAAGCUCCCUGAGACAAGAUUAGUUACAGAGGAGGAGUUAGAAAAUGUACAACAGAACCACUCCUUGCAGCACAUUGCAGAAAGACAACCUAGAGUAACAGAAACAGAUUUACCUGAUAUAGGACAAGUUCAUCCUAGUGAAAGUCUUACUAAACAACAUAUAAUAAAAGGAAGACCUAUUUUAAAUGGCAAUAUACAAGACUUUCUACUAGAGGCACUCUCACAAAGGGAAAUCAUGCAUUUAAAGUCAAUUUUAAGCAAAAAGAUCCAAAAUCACCUUAUAGAAAGAUUCUCGGAAAUAGGGGUAAUCACAGAGGAAGAGUUAAGAAAGAUAUACCAGAGUUUGUUUGUGUUGAGAGCCAAUGAAAGACCGUCAAAUGCUAUGGAGGUAAAUUUACCCAAGGAAGAGCAAAGUCUAAGAACAAAAUCUCUCUUAACCAAAAACCUUCAAGAUAAACUUUCAGAAACACAGCUUGUAGAACUGAAAUCUCUCUUAAACAAGAUUAUGAAAGAAGGUUGUAAAGACAAGCUUUCUGAAACAGAAGUAAAAAGUCUGAAAUCUGUUUUAAGCACCAGCUUUCAAGACCUUCCUGUAGAAAAUAUUUCAGUGGAAUUAGAAAGCACAUGCCAGAAUAUAUCUUUGAAAAAUGGUGAAGGGAAACCACUUACAGUAACUGAUAAAAAUGUAUUUGAGAGCAGGCAAGAUCACACAGCAGAGAAUCCUGAUAAAAUGUCCAUAAUAAAUGAAAAGCCCAUUUUAAGAAAAGAGAAGUGUAAACUUCCUGUAGAUAAUAUUUCAGAACAGGUGUGUGCAGUGGUUAAUCUAAACAAAGAAACCCAAACCAACAAUUUAAGAACCCUUCCACAAAAAGGAAAAAACUCUUUUGAAAGAGAAACUCAAGUUUUACAAAGUUCUCUCAGUAAUACAGAGAAAACAUAUUCAAAAAUGGAUUUUGAAAAAGCAUUAAAACCAAAGCACUCUGAUGACUCUUUGAGAGGAACACCUGAAACAGUAGUCCCAACUUCCUUUUUAAGUUCUCAUGAUACUGAAGUCCAAACAGAGCUUAAGGAAUAUCUCUCCAAGUCAAUGCUGUCCUUUCCCGCAAGCCCUCCAACAUUUAUCUUUUUACGUUCAGACUCUGAGGGAGAAGCAAAACCAUCACACAAGUCUUGUGGAAAAGCAAAAGGUAAAAAAAAACAUAUUAAUAAAGUUUCUAGAAAGUGUACUGUGCCAUAUCAAGGACAAGUAGUAAUGGGUAUGCAAUUUAAGGAGGAGAAACAAACUUAUUUGAAUAAGUCUAAAGAAGGAUUAAAGGGAAAACGCAAAAAACAUCCCGAACCAGCUUCUUUCAUACUGGGUGUUUCAGGAUCCAAGAAAGAUUCAAAAUGUUCUAUGUUAUCCUAUACUUUAAAUAAAGAAAACUCAAAACAGAAAGCAGAGCAAGAAAAAAGGCAUGAAGGUAAAUCAAAGAAAUUGCUUAGCAAGUCUAUUAAGGUACCAUCAGCCACUAUGUCUGAACAACAGCUCAAGCACUCUGCAAACAUGGUUCAAGAAGAAUCAUCUCUGAGUUCCUUUCCAAGACCAUGGAGUGCAAAGAAAAACAUAUCUCAUUGUACAGAUAGAGAAGAUUUAGACACGGAACUAUUUAAGCAUCUUGAAAAAGCUGUAAAAAGGGCGCUGCGUGAUUUAGGAAAGGCUCCAGAAGACAGCACGUGCCAGCCAUUACAUUCUGUAAGACCACAUACUGCUCCAGAUAUUUGUAAUCCAACUGAAGAGACCUCUAAAGCACAGCCUGCUCGCUCUUGCACAUCUUCUUUAGAUUCUUUUGUUGGUGAAGAUACAGGACAUAUGACCAGCUCAGAAUCUGAAAACUUGGACAGUCCAGUGGAGCAGGUAGAAAUAACUCCUGAAAAGUGGGAAGUUGUUUCUAAAGUUCUUCAAAAAAUAUUACAGCAAAACUGGAAACCUAGGACAGAUAGUUAA
ensembl:lncRNA